CUGCGAUGCUGCGGGACUGACAUGGGCUGUGCCAGAGAGGCUCGCAGGAUUCCCAAACUCCAAGGACCUGCUCUACAAACGCUUUCCCACGUCGGUGUGCCACACUCCUAGAAAUUUUGCAGACCUGCCUCUCGCAGCAAACACCAGUGUAAGCAAAACAUAUUGAAAUUCUGCAAAAAUGUGUAGAGUGCUACGUUCUCUGUGGUUUUGCCAAGCACUCUGAUAACUUGAGCAGGCAUGCAUUUCCUGGAAACCCUCCUGGAUAAUAAAUACUGAUUGAGACUCCUGUUGUAGUCUGGAUUCUCUUGUCUUAAAUAUUAGGAAUGUUUGGCAGCAGCCAGCAUCAGGAUCCUGAGCUAUCAGUCCCAUGGAGGUGGAAGAGACCAUGUGAUGCUCAAAAUAUGUGUCCCUAUCUAGGGCCACAGUUCACUGCUGAGUCCUGGGUUCUUCCCUUGGGAGUCAACAGCUCUAGAAACUCCUACAAAAAUCACAGGAGCAUAGAACAGUUUGGGUUGGAAGGGACUUUAAAGGUCACCUGGUCCAACUGCCCUGCAAUUAAUGUAAUUUAAUGGAAAGUCAGAUAACUAAAGACCCUGCCUGCUUUGAA